GCUUCUGCUGAAUAACCUUAAAUGCAUUCACUGUGGGCUGCACCACCGCGGGGGUGUGGGGUGUUCUAAAUGAAGAGCUGGGGGAGAGGAAGAAGAGUGUAGGGUAAAGACUUAGGCCAAGCCCUUUCUCAGGAUCCACGGGGUAGACCUCAACAGGCUGCCCCUCAACCAUGGGACCAAGAUGAAGCUGGGCCUGCAAGGACGUCUCUGAUUGCCUGUUGCAUCACACCCUCUUCUCUCCCCUCAAAUCUCCAUCAUCUCCCCACUCCAGGUCUCAGCUGAGGACUCGGCCUUGUACUUCUUAGAGCACACAGGCUCAGACACCAACACUUCAUCUUCCCAACACCAAGUCCACAGCACCCACCUAUGCCUGCUGCCCUCACAUACUCAGCUGCUUCUCCAGUUACUGCCAUUCCUACGCAUAUCCACCAAUCCACCAGCUUUUACCCUUGGACCUCCCACCCCAGGGCACAGGGGCUCAGGUCCCUACUCCCCACCCCCAGAAACUUCACACGUCCCAGGAUAAAGAAAAAGAAGACAGCCAGGCAGUAGUGUCCAUCACGUUUCUAGUUUACAUGCCAGCACUAGUCUGCAAAAACGGAAACGUGCUUUCUCUACCUUCACACAUCCCUCUCUGUCAGCCCAAACGCCACGCAGGAAGCUCCUCCUGACCCACAGGACACAGAGGGGCACUUCCGCCUGGUUUGGGUCUUAAGCAGAGAACAACGGCUCAUUUCCCUGGCGAAGCCCUGGUCACUGCAACUUGAACUCCCAGGAGGUUCCCCUUCCCGCUAUAUUCUGCCCAAAUGGUUGGCAAUCACUGAUCAAUAACGGAGUUGGUCAAAUGCUAAAAACAGUGACUUCUAUGUAGAGUUUUCCACGGAGAAGUCAAAAAGCAGCUGACUGCAAAGUCCGGAACAUGAUGGGACGUAAAGAAGAAGGCCUCUGGGUGUUCUACCCCCAAAUCCAUAACCUCCGUUGAAUCGUGAAAAACCACCAAACAAACCCACGUUGAGGACAGUCUACAAAACACCUGAGCGCUACUUUUCAUACAUGUCAAGGUCAUGAAAUUUCAAGGUCGUGAAAGACAAGGAACCACCGAGAAAUUGUCACAGAUUGGAGGCUAAGGAGAUGGGAGGACGAAAUGCCACAGAAACAGAAAAGGUUCAUUACAUGGGAAAGCUGGAGAAAUCAGCACAGAGGCUGGAGUUGUGUUAAUAGUGUUGUCAUCCCCUAGUUUGGGUAAUGGCACCCUGGUUAUCUACGUGAGACGUUAACCUUAGGGGAGGCUGGAGGAAGGGAAUAUGGGACCCCUCUGUAAUGUCUUUAUAACUGAUGUAUAAAUCUGAAGUUAUUUCAAAUUUUGAAGUUUUAAAAAAUAAUCA